GGGGUUAUAAGUGUUUGAAUAUGAAUCAUUUCCUUAUCUAUGAGCUUGUUGUGUUUGAGCUUGCUGGACCUACUCAUACACAAACUCAGGAAAUUGAGGUGUGGUUGGGCAUUCACUAACAAAAUAGGUCAAGCUUGCACACAAUGCACAAAAAUUUUAGACUGGAUUAGGUGGAAUUUGAGAGUGUCCAGUAUUCAGGAGAUGAUCUAAUUUCUGAGAUGAUUCAUCUAUCUUACUGUGGAUAUUUAUGACAUUUCUAAUCUAAUAGAUUUUGCUUCUUAUCUGUUGAAGCAUGGGUUACUCUCUAGAGGUGGUAGACAUAUGAUG
rnacentral:lncRNA from 1 species